rnacentral:rRNA from 1 species
GAUGAACGCUGGCGGCAGGCCUAACACAUGCAAGUCGAGCGGGCGUAGCAAUACGUCAGCGGCAGACGGGAGAGUAACACGUGGGAACGUGCCCUUUGGUUCGGAAUAACUCAGGGAAACUUGAGCUAAUACCGGAUAAGCCCUUCGGGGGAAGGAUUUAUUGCCAUUGGAGCGGCCCGCGUCGGAUUAGCUAGUUGGUGAGGUAAUGGCUCACCAAGGCGACGAUCCGUAGCUGGUCUGAGAGGAUGACCAGCCUCACUGGGACUGAGACACGGCCCAGACUCCUACGGGAGGCAGCAGUGGGGAAUAUUGGACAAUGGGCGCAAGCCUGAUCCAGCCAUGCCGCGUGGAUGAUGAAGGCCCUAGGGUUGUAAAGUCCUUUUAACGGGGAAGAUAAUGACGGUACCCGUAGAAUAAGCCCCGGCUAACUUCGUGCCAGCCGCCGCCGUAA